rnacentral:tRNA from 1 species
UGCCCGGUAGUGUAAUUGGCAACAUGACAGACUCUGGAUCUGUUGUUUCUGGUUCGAGUCCAGACCGGGCAG